GGAAAGAACCCAACAGGGAUUGCCCUAGUACCGGCGAGUGAAGCGGCAACAGCUCAAAUUUGAAAUCUGGCCUCCUCUGGUGGUCCGAGUUGUAAUUUGCAGAGGGUGCUUUGGCGUCGGCAGCGGUCUAAGUUCCUUGGAACAGGACAUCACAGAGGGUGAGAAUCCCGUACGUGGUCGACUGCCUUCGCCGUGUAAAGCCCCUUCGACGAGUCGAGUUGUUUGGGAAUGCAGCUCUAAAUGGGAGGUAAAUUUCUUCUAAAGCUAAAUACUGGCCAGAGACCGAUAGCGCACAAGUAGAGUGAUCGAAAGAUGAAAAGCACUUUGGAAAGAGAGUCAAACAGCACGUGAAAUUGUUGAAAGGGAAGCGCUUGCAGCCAGACUUGCCCGCAGUUGCUCAUCGGAACUCCUGCUCCGAGCACUCUUCUGCGGGCAGGCCAGCAUCAGUUUGGGCGACCGGAUAAAGGCCUCUGUCAUGUAUCUUCCUUCGGGAUGACCUUAUAGGGGAGGCGUAAUGCGGCCAGCCCGGACUGAGGUCCGCGCUUCUGCUAGGAUGCUGGCGUAAUGGCUGUAAGCGGCCCGUCUUGAAACACGGACCAAGGAGUCUAACAUCUAUGCGAGUGUUUGGGUGUCAAGCCCGAGCGCGCAAUGAAAGUGAACGGAGGUGGGAACCCUCUUCGGGGGGUGCACCAUCGACCGAUCCUGAUGUCUUCGGAUGGAUUUGAGUAAGAGCAUAGCUGUUGGGACCCGAAAGAUGGUGAACUAUGCUUGAAUAGGGUGAAGCCAGAGGAAACUCUGGUGGAGGCUCGCAGCGGUUCUGACGUGCAAAUCGAUCGUCAAAUUGGGGAUAGGGGCGAAGACUAUC
rnacentral:rRNA from 1 species